AACUCUAAUAUGCUGAUGACAACAUAGUCUAUGCACAUUCAGAAGACCUACAACGUUUUAUAGAACUCCCAUAUGCCAAUGACAACGUAGUCUGUGCACAUUCAGAAGACCUACAACGUUUUAUAGAACUCCCAUAUGCCAAUGACAACGUAGUCUGUGCACAUUCAGAAGACCUACAACGUUUUAUAGAACUCCCAUAUGCCAAUGACAACGUAGUCUGUGCACAUUCAGAAGACCUACAACGUUUUAUAGAACUCCCAUAUGCCAAUGACAACGUAGUCUGUGCACAUUCAGAAGACCUACAACGUUUUAUAGAACUCCCAUAUGCCAAUGACAACGUAGUCUGUGCACAUUCAGAAGACCUACAACGUUUUAUAGAACUCCCAUAUGCCAAUGACAACGUAGUCUGUGCACAUUCAGAAGACCUACAACGUUUUAUAGAACUCCCAUAUGCCAAUGACAACGUAGUCUGUGCACAUUCAGAAGACCUACAACGUUUUAUAGAACUCCCAUAUGCCAAUGACAACGUAGUCUGUGCACAUUCAGAAGACCUACAACGUUUUAUAGAACUCCCAUAUGCCAAUGACAACGUAGUCUGUGCACAUUCAGAAGACCUACAACGUUUUAUAGAACUCCCAUAUGCCAAUGACAACGUAGUCUGUGCACAUUCAGAAGACCUACAACGUUUUAUAGAACUCCCAUAUGCCAAUGACAACGUAGUCUGUGCACAUUCAGAAGACCUACAACGUCUGUGAUAGAACUCCAAUAUGCCGCCGAUAACGUAGUCUGUGCACAUUCAGAAGACCUACAACAUCUUUUAUAGGGCUCCAAUAGGCCGAUGAUAGGAGCCCGUUAAAACACUAACGGCGGCCCAUGCAGUCAUGCCAGUGGCCACAUGACCUCGGAGGUGUCUACGGACAACGCCGGCUCUUGGGCUUAGAAAUGGAGAUGAGCACCAACCCCCAGAGUCAGACAUGACUGGACUUAACAUCAGGGGAAACCUUUACCUUUACCUAGGCCGAUGAUAAUGUAAUCUGUGCACAUUCAGAAGAUCUACAACAUCUAUUAUAGAACUCCAAUAUGCUGAUGACAACAUAGUCUAUGCACAUUCAGAAGAAGACUUAUUUAUUUAUUUAUUUAUUUACUACAUUUAUAUGUUGCCCUUCUCACCCCAAAGGGGACUCAGAGCAGCUUACAAAUUACAUUCACAUACAAUACAUUGUAUUAUUGGCAUAGUACAAUACUAGCGUUAAAUAACUAUAUUGUACUAUAUCAUUACAUUGUAAUAUUAUUAGUAAUAUAAUUAAUUACAUCUGUUACAGAACUCCAAUAUGCCGAUGACAACGUAGUCUGUGCGCACUCAGAAGAAGACCUACAAGCCACUCUAAACACCUUCGCAGAAGCAGACGAGAAGCUCGGCCUCUCACUGAACAUCGAGAAAACCAAAGUGCUCUUCCAACAGGCACCAGCCAAUCCCUCUGCAAGGCCAGGAAUACAUUAGAAAAAGUUGACCAUUUCUGCUCCCUUGGCAGAAAAGUGGAUGAUGAAGCAGCUGCUCCCCCCUGUGGCCAGAAUCGAACAUCCCCUCAGGAGAAGGUUAAAUUGCCUCUGCGUCUGUCUCUGUUCUAUGUGUUUAUGGGCAUUGAAUGUUUGCCCUAUAUGUGUAUAGUGUGAUCCGCCCUGAGUCCCCAUCGGGGUGAGAAAGAAGGGCGGAAUAUAAAUACCGUAAAUAAAUAAAUAAAUAAAUGAGCCAAUCAUGUCAUGCGGCAGCAAAAAAAGCCAAGGGGAUUCUGGCCUGCAUCAAGAGCCUGGUGCCCAGAUCCAGGGAUGGAAGUCCCGCUCCCCUUUCUCUUCUCUUCUGCCUUGGUCUGACUUUGCCUGGAAUCCCACUCUGUCCCAUUCUGGGCAGUGCAACUGAAGGGAGAUGUUGACUCUAAGCUGGAAUGUGUCCAGAGGAGGGUGACUAAAACGAUCAAGGGCCUGGAGAACAAACCCUAUGAGGAGCGGCUGAAAGAGCUGGGCAUGUUUAGCCUGCAGAAGAGAAGGCUGAGAGGAGACAUGAUGAGGGCCAAGGAUCAAGAGGCUUACCUUCCCGGCCAGACAAAACAGAAGCCGGAGCGAGGGACUCUCCCUUGGAGGCCACAAGGAUGAAGUAAUGGGAGCAUUUCAGGUGCCACUCCUGCAGAGAAGGACCAAGGGGAAGGGGACGUGACCAGAAUAUGAAUAUACUACGUGUGGGGCUCCAGGGCGUGGAUCCUCUCCUGCUCCUCUCCAGGGACAAAGCGAUGAUAGAACUCGUUCAUGUCGAUGGCGCUGCACUCCAUCCAGCCCUGGAAGGCAAAGAGUGCUCAGGACCAGCCCAGG